rnacentral:rRNA from 1 species
UAAUACGUAGGGUGCAAGCGUUAAUCGGAAUUACUGGGCGUAAAGCGUGCGCAGGCGGUGAUGUAAGACAGAUGUGAAAUCCCCGGGCUCAACCUGGGAACUGCAUUUGUGACUGCAUCGCUGGAGUGCGGCAGAGGGGGAUGGAAUUCCGCGUGUAGCAGUGAAAUGCGUAGAUAUGCGGAGGAACACCGAUGGCGAAGGCAAUCCCCUGGGCCUGCACUGACGCUCAUGCACGAAAGCGUGGGGAGCAAACAGGAUUAGAUACCCUGGUAGUCCACGCCCUAAACGAUGUCAACUGGUUGUUGGUCCUUUGCUGGAUCAGUAACGAAGCUAACGCGUGAAGUUGACCGCCUGGGGAGUACGGCCGCAAGGCUA